rnacentral:lncRNA from 1 species
GGUAAUUGCAGGGGCUUUAAGUAAAAGGGUGCAGUAGUUACUCCAGUUCUGCCUGUUACUCCUGUCACUGCUGACUUUCCCAGCACUGUCUUUUAAGAUGCUGGAGGAGGGGCUGAGGCCCUUUUAAUGAAGUGAAAGGAUGAGCGGGAGGCCUGUCCAGAACAGCAGUGGAAAGAGAAAAGACAUAUGUAGAGAGCCCCGUGCAUGGGGAAACCAGAGCUGCAGCCCGUUCCAGAGGCAGGAGCUGCUGAAGCACAGAUGUCUUCAGGAAAUCUCCACGCUGCGCCCCAAAGAGUUUUGGCCAGGUGGGAGAGUGAGUCACGUCCUCUGCCGCACGCCAGCCAGCAAGGACAUCCCAGGAGUGCCUGGCCCCGGGGACCACUCGCCGAAGGAUGAUGCUGGCAUCUGACUGGUGGACACGAGGAAGAAAGCCAGCACUACUGGACAAUAAGCUUCCUGCUGCUGGCCAGCUGUCCAUGGACUGUGAUCUGGGAAAACACUCACUUAGAAAAAUCAAUCAGAGACAGGACAUGGACAAGACAGAAGUUGACACCUCUGCCUACUGCAGAGCACUCAGACUUAUACAGGCAGAUAUAUUUAAUGGAACUGAGCCUUCCUGUUUUACAAGAAAAGCAUCCUAUACCAGUGCUAGCUUUGGCAAAACUUCAUCCUCGGGAAUAAUUCCUGACAUUCCCAUUGACUAUUUCUCAGCACAUCAAUGUCUGAAUGAUCUCACUGGAAAGCACUUCUCCCAGGAUGUGCCGUCUUGCCAGGACUCUGCUUCUACUUGUGCCAGUGAUACCUGCACGCACCGAUCCAUUGGGAGCGCCUGCAAUUCCUUGGGAUUCCUUUCCCAUCUGACAGACCAGCAUUAAAAACUGUUAGGGAAUUCUGUUCAUGAGUGGUUGAACCUGUUUUCUUAAUGAAAAGUGAAACCACAAGCAGGAUAAGAGGGUCAGGGGAAAAUUCCUAACACCUGGAAUCUAACACACUUUAGAAUAAAAUGUGAUAAAUUUGCUUAGUGAGUGACA